rnacentral:rRNA from 1 species
CCUACGGGGGGCAGCAGUCGGGAAUAUUGCACAAUGGAGGAAACUCUGAUGCAGUGACGCCGCGUGCAGGAAGAAGGUUUUCGGAUUGUAAACUGCUUUAGAUAGGGAAGAUAAAAGACUGUACCUAUAGAAUAAGCUCCGGCUAACUACGUGCCAGCAGCCGCGGUAAUACGUAGGGAGCAAGCGUUAUCCGGAUUUAUUGGGUGUAAAGGGUGCGUAGACGGGCUAACAAGUUAGUUGUGAAAUCCCUCGGCUCAACUGAGGAACUGCAACUAAAACUAUUAGUCUUGAGUGCGGGAGAGGAAAGUGGAAUUCCUAGUGUAGCGGUGAAAUGCGUAGAUAUUAGGAGGAACACCAGUGGCGAAGGCGACUUUCUGGACCGUAACUGACGUUGAGGCACGAAAGUGUGGGGAGCAAACAGGAUUAGAUACCCUUGUA